UAGGGAAUCUUCCGCAAUGGGCGAAAGCCUGACGGAGCAACGCCGCGUGAGUGAUGAAGGUCUUCGGAUCGUAAAACUCUGUUAUUAGGGAAGAACAUAUGUGUAAGUAACUGUGCACAUCUUGACGGUACCUAAUCAGAAAGCCACGGCUAACUACGUGCCAGCAGCCGCGGUAAUACGAAGGUGGCAAGCGUUAUCCGGAAUUAUUGGGCGUAAAGCGCGCGUAGGCGGUUUUUUAAGUCUGAUGUGAAAGCCCACGGCUCAACCGUGGAGGGUCAUUGGAAACUGGAAAACUUGAGUGCAGAAGAGGAAAGUGGAAUUCCAUGUGUAGCGGUGAAAUGCGCAGAGAUAUGGAGGAACACCAGUGGCGAAGGCGACUUUCUGGUCUGUAACUGACGCUGAUGUGCGAAAGCGUGGGGAUCAAACA
rnacentral:rRNA from 1 species